rnacentral:rRNA from 1 species
AGAGUUUGAUCAUGGCUCAGGAUGAACGCUGGCGGUCUGCUUAACACAUGCAAGUCGAACGAACUCUUCGGAGUGAGUGGCGGACGGGUGAGUAACGCGUGAGAAUCUACCUGUGGGUCGGGGACAACCACUGGAAACGGUGGCUAAUACCGGAUGAGCCGAAAGGUAAAAGAUUUAUUGCCCACAGAUGAGCUCGCGUCUGAUUAGCUAGUUGGUAAGGUAAAAGCGUACCAAGGCGACGAUCAGUAGCUGGUCUGAGAGGAUGAGCAGCCACACUGGGACUGAGACACGGCCCAGACUCCUACGGGAGGCAGCAGUGGGGAAUUUUCCGCAAUGGGCGAAAGCCUGACGGAGCAAGACCGCGUGGGGGAGGAAGGUUUUUGGAUCGUAAACCCCUUUUGUCAAGGAAGAAGCUCUGACGGUACUUGACGAAUAAGCCUCGGCUAACUCCGUGCCAGCAGCCGCGGUAAUACGGAGGAGGCAAGCGUUAUCCGGAAUGAUUGGGCGUAAAGCGUCUGUAGGUGGCCAGCUAAGUCUGCUGUUAAAGAUCACAGCUCAACUGUGGGAAGGCAGUGGAAACUGGCAAGCUAGA